AUGCAUGAAGUUUAUCUAUCACUCUGUCUGUGUGUUUUAUUCUCAGAUUUCUCCAUGAUCAUCAUUAUUAGUGUGUGUGUGAUUCUGCUGCUGAUCGCUGGAUUCACUCUGACUGUGUGCACAUUAAGACACAAGAGACGAGGAAGAAUCUCAAAAUCAGACAAGAGAAAUAGAGAGAAAAAUACAAUGUCAUCAUGUGCAGACAGCAGACAUGAUUCUCUCUCAGAUCAUGGAUCAGCUCAAAUGAACACUCAUGAUGAAUUACCCACAAUCCCCUCUGAUGGGCUCCUGUACGCUGCUGUCAGUUUCGAGAAGCAUCCAGAAGAGUCUCUCAGUGAAGCUACAGUCAGAUUCAGUAAGAAUGAGAUUCACUCUGAUUACACCACGAUCAGUCACCGCAUGAGACUCAACUAACUCACUUUACAGAUUACAGAUCUUCACACAUCUGUAUUUUACAAAAAAUAGACUAUGAUAUGAUUAUGACUAUUAUAUAUAUAUAUAUACUUGUUUACUUUCAGAGUUUGUUUAUUAAAAUGUUAUGUUAUUAUAAUUCAUAAUGUAGUGUUGAACAGUUUUUUGUUGUGAUGAGGGUUGUUCAGUUCAGUGCGUGAAUCAUGAGACACUUUAAAGUUUCCGUUGCUGCUGCUGUUUUUUUUGUUUUGUUUUUUGUUUGUUUUUUUUUUCCACAUGUUUAAAAUAGUUUGUCGUCUCAGUUUAUCUGAGGGUGUGGUGAGGACAGGAAGUAAAACCCUUGAUUGACACUUUUAGAAGAUACUGUAAAGUUUCCACUCCACAUAUAGAGACACAGCAGCCUUAGGCAGUUAAUAAAGACUCUUUAUAGCAGCUCUUAAACA
ensembl:lncRNA